UACGUAGGGAGCAAGCGUUGUCCGGAAUCAUUGGGCGUAAAGCGCGUGUAGGCGGCUCGAUAAGUCUGCUGUGAAAGUUCAGGGCUCAACCCUGAAAUGCCGGUGGAAACUGUCGAGCUAGAGUACGGAAGAGGUGAGUGGAAUUCCUGGUGUAGCGGUGAAAUGCGCAGAUAUCAGGAGGAACACCAAUGGCGAAGGCAGCUCACUGGGACGUUACUGACGCUGAGACGCGAAAGCGUGGGGAGCAAACAGG
rnacentral:rRNA from 1 species